rnacentral:rRNA from 1 species
CCCUUAGAUGUUCUGGGCCGCACGCGUGCUACACUGAGUGGAUCAGCGGGUCAGGUUGUGCGAAAGCGCUUCCUAAUCUUUAAAUCCGCUCGUGAUGGGGAUUGACGGUUGCAAUUUUCUGUCAUGAACGAGGAAUACCUUGUAAGCGCGGGUCAUCAUCCCGCGCUGAAUACGUCCCUGCCCUUUGUACACACCGCCCGUCGCUCCUACCGAUUGAGUGGUCCGGUGAGGCUUUGGGAUCUGAGCGGAAAGAGCGUUUCGCUGUUUCUGCUCGGAAAACUCAGUCGAACCUUAUCAUUUAGAGGAAGGAGAAGUCGUAACA